rnacentral:lncRNA from 12 species
UGAAGAUUUACUAUGCCACUGAAUUUAAGGAACUGGGGCAAGAUUUAUGUUUGGAAGAGGAGUUUGUUUUUAUUGAUAAUCUUGAAAAUUUUUGUAAAAGACUGCCAACAUUAUCUACACUUCUGAGCAGACUACAGUUUUUUUUAGUGAAAGAUCCCCUUUUGGAUUCUGAAGGACAGAUUUUAACAGCAGAGAAUAUUUU